rnacentral:rRNA from 1 species
AUGAUGGUAACAACGAAAAAAGUUAGGGAAGAUUGGCUUGAAGGCAGACCAAGCACUAGUUCGAACAGGGCGGAAAAGGCAUGGUCACAACUAUGGAAGAUCAAGGUACCAUCUAAAGUGCGAGUCUUUGUUUGGCGGCUCGCACAACACUCUUUCCCUUCGGGCUCAGAGAUGCAUCAUCGGAAAAUGACCACUAGCCCUCGAUGUGUUAUUUGUCAAGCAGAGAAUGACUCUUGUACCAUGUCACGUUGUGUUUGGGCAUUACUUGAUGAAUCCCUCAUAGAGCACAUGUGCAUGAAUUCUUGCUCGGAUGCGAAGGAGUGGCUGUUCCACAUGAUGGAGACUACAACACAUGAAGAAUUCAUCAAAAUUUUAUUGACACUUUGGGCGAUCUGGGGUGCGCGCGGAAAGGCAAUUCAUGAAUCUAUCUACCAAAGCCCGGUGAUUAUUCAUGGUUUUGUUACCAGUCUCAUUGCCGACCUUCAAAUGGUGAACACAAAACUGGAUAAAGCUGCUCCAAAUCUACAAGCAGCAGCGCCGAGAUGGAGGCCACCGCCGGAGGGCUGGGCCAAAAUUUAUGUUGAUGGUGGUACAAACAAGAUAGGAUCAAAGGGAGCAGCUGCCGUCAUAUGCAGGAAUGAUACAGGGAAGUACCUGGGGUCUUCAGCGAGGGUAUUGAACAAUUGCACCGACCCAGCAACUCUUGAAGCAAUAGCAUGCUGUGAAGCGCUGACUUUGGCGGAGGAUUUAAACAUUCAGAAAGUUAUUAUCGCAUGUGAUGCUUCCACAGUUAUCAAGAACAUCAAUGAAGGUAGUAGAUGCGAGUAUAGCUCGGUUCUUACGGAGAUUAAGGUGCGAUCGAGACAUUUUCUUAAUGUUAAUUUUGUGCACGAGGGUAGAGCAACAAACAUAGAAGCUCACAAUCUUGUGAAAAGUGUUUUAUCACUCGAACAUGGUCGAUUUCUAUGGCUACUCCAGCCAUGGGAUCCCUCUAUUGUACUUCCUGUUAUAGAGCAAUAA